GUGAGGCGUGAGGAGGAGGAGGAGGAGGAGAAAAAGCAGCUGCAGCAAAAGCAGAAGAAACAGCAGCAACGUUCACAAAAGGAGCAGAGGUAGAUAUUUGGGUCCCAAACAGCUCUGCUUGAAAUACAAAUGACCAGUUAAAACACAAAAAAAAGCCUCAACCUCACCACGAACCCAAUACAUGGAAAUUCCAAAAACACCGAGUUAUUUCUGAAAGAUUUUACAUGAGAGAAAUACAGUGAGAAUGCCUUCUAAAUGACCUUUGUUUGAUCUGAAACUUUAACUCUCGGUGCAGCUUCUAAUUCAGAUUUCAGGUUUUUAGCAUGUUAUAAACGUUACAAAUGACUGUUUUUGUGUUGAAAAAUAGCAUAAUCGCUGGGCACAGUGGCUCACAGCUCCAGUCUCAACACUUCGGGAAGCCAAGGCAGGAGGGUCACUUGAGUCCAGGAAAUUGAGACCAACCUGGAUACCACAGUGAGACACUAAUCUCUACAGAAAAAUAAAAAGAUUAUUCCUUGUUUUAGGGUACUAAGAACUUUGAAAAAAAAAAAAAAAUAGCACAAUGUAUCAGAACACCAAAAUCUUCCUGCAACGACAGCUUCAGCAGACUCAGCUGAAGUGAGCCACAUCAAAAAUUAUGCCUCCUAAUUGACGCCCCCACUGGAAAUGAUAAAAGCAGCUGCACUUAUCCUCUGCCAAGUACUAUGCUAUGCUUUGACAGGUAUUAUCUCAUUUGAUUUUCAUGGAAACUCCAAAAAGUAAGUUCUUUAGCUUGUCUCUUUUCCCAGAGGAAGAAACUAACUUUUAGAGAAAUUAAAGCUGAAUCAUAUAAAAUUGCUAAUGUUUGACUGGUUUUGACCCACAGAUAUGGCAAUCUCAUAUCUCACCUGGUUCAACCUGAAAAUGUGUCCGAGGUCACACAGUGGGCAAGUGUGGAGCAGAAAUUAUCCAAGGCAUCGCACACCAAAGCCCACUAGGCAACAUGCCUUACUUCCAGCUAGAAGAUGAGAGCAGGUGACCUUGGGUCAAGAUUAUCAGACUGGUUGAAAAGUCACUGAAGGCAAUCACAUCAGACAGUUCAGAAUUUUUUUUUUUUUGGUACAAAGUCAGGGGCGACAACUUGAUUCACUGCAAGCUGAAAAUGGUUUGGGAUUAAGCAGAAUUCUGAACAUUUUAUUUCAUAUUUGCCACAAAAUUGCUGAAAGUGACUUUCUCUCUGAAUAUCAUAUUCUCCUGUUAAAUGGACAUGAUAACCAUGGUCAUCUGAAGGAUACUCUGGAAGGGAUGCAUAAGCUGAAUGAGUCAGGAGACAAGAGCCAAUCAACAUUUCUAGCAAGGAGUGUCUAGACAAAAGCUCUGUCUUACUGCCUGUGUAAGGGAGUAAGAAGGCCAAGGGAGCUGAGAAGCUGAAGAAAGAGGCUGAUAACCCCAGUUUCUCAAAAAGAAAUAUUUAAUGGGGACUCACUAACAGAAGUGAUGUCUUGGGCCGCCUUAAGAUGGUAGAUCCCCAAAACCUGCCCUCUAGGAAGCAUACCUGAAAUAGUAAGAUUUUAGGUGAAAGGCAUAGCAGCUGAUCAUACUUCAGGCUUUCUUGAAAAACUCAUGACCACUAAGAAAGUUACAUAAGCAUCUUUAUGAGGGCUUAUCUAUACAAUGGCUUAUCUAGCCAUUGUUUAAAGACCCUGCUGAAUUCCUUGGUCUGCAGGAAUUAAACAUCAGUCAUUAUGGUGGUUUCACUCCAAGAUGUUGUCACUCUUGCCAUGGAGCAGGCGGUUUCCCUAAAGCGUGGAAGAGAACUCUGGACUAGGCUCCUGUCAAUAUUCGGCAGAAUGGAUGAGCAGCCAUUUUCUGUUUCUAGAUUGUUUGCUCCUGCAGAGUUAGGAGACAUUUGAUGAUUCAAGAGUUCUGACUCAUUUUGGUGAGCCAGCUUGUUGCUGACAUAAAUCAGAUGAAGUUGAAAGCCCACCUCAACAUCACAAGGUCAGUGGCCGUCGUCACUGGAAAAGAGCUCCUGAAGGACUCGCUUUCAUAACUGUAUUUCCCAAGGAGAGGUUUAAAGAAACGUUUAGGUAAAAAGAACAUUUCACAAGGUAUAUGCAGCCAGGCUGCAGAUGUAAACAAUAAAAAUUUAUUUUGAAAUUUGCUCUUUAAUUCUGAUGGAUUUUCUAAGCCAGUGAUUCUGAAUCCAACAGCUGCUGGGUGAGCAGUACAUACCUGGAUAAAUCAACCCUUAUGUUACCUCUGGAGUAGUGAAUAAUAUGUCUUACUUAGUGGAGUAAAGAUCCCAUCCUUCAAGAUACAGAGCACUCGGGCGCAACUUGCAUGUGAUUGCAAAUAUUCAAAUGAAAUACACAGAUCCUGCAAAGACUAAUAAAUCAUGUUCCAGGCGAGCACCUUCCCAUUUGCAUGGAUUUGUGUUGACUUAAAAGAGACAAGAAAUAAAGUAGGGGCUAGCACAACACAAAAGCCAACUCAGGUUGUCUGUUACUGUGUGUGACAAUUUGGGACCUGGCCUGGUUUUGCAAAAAUUUAAAUACAGGUUGAUGUGGUCACUGCCUAGAGAAUAGCACGAUGAGACGUGAGUCAUAGUGUGUGCACCCCUGGUGUUUAUCCUUCUGCCUCUGUGCCUCUGGGUGAGGAGAACAUGAGCCAAAAAGCCCCUGAAGAGAAGUAAAGGUGGAGUGGAGAAGUCCCGCCCUUCUCCCCAAAAACAGUGUCUUGGAGUGGAGAAAGUGACAGGAGAAGAGAAGUUUAAUCAUUGUAUGGAGGAAAUAAUAAAGCAAUGGUCAGUGAAAAGGAGGAAAACUUGGGGAAACAGAAAAAGGAGGUGAACAAUCCAUUAAUAAUUAUUUUUAUCAAUUUAAUAAUGUACAUUGUGCAAUGGGUAAAUGAAGCUAAUUAAUAUAUGCCUUACCUCAUAUAUUUAUCAUUUGCAGUGAGAACACUUAAAAUCUGUUCUCUUAGCAAUUUUCAAGUAUACAAUACAUUGUUAUUAACUCCAGUUUCCAUGUUGUACAAGAGAAAUCUUGAGUUUACUUCUCCUGUCUGACAGAAUGCUGCAGCUUUAGAACAGUAUCUUCCUAAUCCCCUCCUUCCAAGGAGUAGAAUUUUUAGUAAUGAAGUAUCAAGUUUUCAAAAUGAAAACACUCAUAAAACGCAGGAGAAUGCCUGCAUGACACAGCGAAGCCCCGAACCUGCUCCCUAGAUAAGAAAAGCACUUAUCUCAUCAUGUAUUUAACUUCAAAAUCCUUCCACAGUUAAUAGUUAGGAUUUUAAAAAGUGGCAUCUAGCUUUUCCUAGACGUCUUGUUGCCUAUGAAUGAAAGGGUUUUCUAAUUUGGAAAAUCAGAUUUCUUCACCAUAUCUCUGAAAGCUUCCCUGGUAUUUAUUGGAGAACAGAAGAAUGAGUUGAAGGGUCAGAGAAUCUGUGUUUUGAAUCUAAAGGGUUAGAUACAAAAUGAAAAAGUGUAGAAAUAUGGAAAAGAAAUGACCAAAGGAAUCAAUGUUUACAUUUUAAGUCUUUGGAUAUCUCCACGAGAUUGAUUCAGAUGGCAGUAAACAUGCAGAACACAGUGAAUGUCUGUGUGCAGAGGUUAAAACAUGAUUAUUGGAAGCCUAUUAUUUGGAAACCUAUUAUUCCAAGAUCCGGGUGUUUAAAGUGGUUGGUGAGGCUUUGUUGGUUUUGCCUUUCUGGCUUCUUCUGAGUGACAGGGCAAUCGUGAAAUGUGUCCUCUUAUGGGAUGUAAUGAGGUUUUGUUGUGGCAGAAAUGAAAGGCCUAGGAAAGGCUCCCACACAGAACAAGGAGACAAGGAGUCACAAUUCCCCAUCUUCCAUGUCAGCCCACCUAGGUCAGAUUGCUCAGGUAUCCAGGUCCAAAAGUCAGACCUAGCCACUGGUGUUCCUUCCCCACGCAUUGUAAAUAUGGCGUCAAAGCGAAUCCAUCACGUCCAUUUCCAAAACAAUAUAAAACACAUCCUGAGCCAAUGCUUUUAGUGCCAUCUUUAUACACCUGACUCUGUUGGACUGUGCCCAGGACCUGCCUUUUGCUAAAGUAUAUCCAAGGAUACCUGUGCACACAAAGAGGUGGUUUUGGACAUCUGCAAUGCCAUGUGUCUGUCUGUGUUUGGUCUGCCUCUGCAGGCUAGUAGCUCACACAAAGAUUCUAGCUGCUGUUCUGCUGCAUGUUUUCGUUUCUAAGUCUUACCACUUGUGGCUUUGGGAAAUCACUCACUGGGAUCUCCGUAUGUAUAAUCAAUGGAAUCAAUCUUUACACAUUAUCCAUAUGUACAGAAAGAGAGCUUGGAUUUCCAAAAGGUGGACACUGGGCUGAGGAGUUUAGAGCAAACUUGUCUGAAAAUUAGUAUUUCUUUGGUCUACUAUGAUAACUGUCCUUAAACCAAGAUUACUAUUAAUAACCCUCACAGUGACCCUGUCUCCUGCCUGGCCCAGGUCUAUUCCACAGGAAACACUCAAAAAGGCUUUGUCCUUUAAGCUCUGAUGGUACUGGCCCCAGCAAUGCAGCCACCACUAUCCUGUUGUCACACGCAACUUGAGCUUUCCAAGAAGGGUCAGGUACUUGUCCUUAUAAUUAAUACUAUUUCAGUAGUUUGGAUGAAGUCCUCCAAGCAGGCUUGAUCUAAGAGAACUAGUACUCUUUCAGAUCCUCUUACACAGGUGAGGGAGGGAAGUGUCCUACAGAAUCAGCAUGAUAAUAGCUCUUUUCAGUGCAAGUACUUCAAUAAGUCCUCCUCCUGUUAUAUCCUUUCUAGUUAAGGUUAAAGAGGAAUGUCCAAGAAUGUUGAAAUUCCACAUGUGGGAAGAGUAAGCCUCAUACUUUAGUACCUGAACCAAGGAGAGACUCAUUUUAACAUUCUGGAGAACAGGUAAAUCAUUUCAGCCAGCAUUGAAAUCACUCCUCCAGCCACUGGAAGAGAUACACAUCUACACUCAAAAUGAAAGCCUCCCCUUUAACACUCUUUAACAAUAAACCUAACACACAAAUCUCAAGAUUUCUAUUACCAUAAUUUUUUCAAAGACUUUUGAAAGUCAUAGCCAUUCAACCAAGAAUCAUGCUUUCAUUCCACUUUAAAAUUACAUUCAACAAUUCGGAAGCAAUUCAGAGCAUCUACAGCCACACGUUUCAGAAAGUCUCUUAGGCACUUAAUUCUACAUUUGUGCAAGAAUAUAUGCUCCCUUUGUGCAUUUGUUUAAUGCUUAUUAAUUGGUCUCAGUAUCAUUUUUCAUGUUUUCUGAGAUGCUCAGCUAUCUCGAGGGGUACAGAAAAAGUCACAAAAUAAAUGUGAAUAAUGAUUACAGAGAUUCGAACUGAGGCCAAAAUCUCCUUAUUCUACAUUCAAUUUAAAUAAUCUUCGCAGGAGUAGGAAAGUGUAACUCCUUCCCGCAGAGGGCUCCAGUGACAUAAACUGAUGUGACAGAGGGACACACCAUAGCCCACCCUAAUUAGAAUUCAUUAGCAUACUAAGUUGUAUCUUGAUCAGGCAGUGAACACAAGGUGUGUACACAAACAGGAUUUCCAUUAAUCCCAUCCAGCUAAGAUGCCUCUCUUCACUUUGGUGGGGGAACCUCAUCGGAAAAUGAUGCCAUGAUGUUUGGUGCUAAGUCCUGUUCCACAAACAGAAAAGGUUUCAGGCUCAGGUGGCGGCAACCUAGAGAGGAGUGACUAUUUCAAAAGAGAAACUUAGGUUAAGCAGGACAUGGAGAAAUGUGAGACUUAGGAGACAUGAUGGUCCCCAGAGAUGGGAGGAGAUUUGGAAGGGGAGUGGGACAAAGGAGAUUGUUUUUCACCUUUGUUUUUAAAGAAAAGUCAAUCCCCAAAACUGAGGAGAGAGAUCUUCUGGUUUGUGUAUGUUGUCUUUGCUGUUCGUGUGAAAAGUCUUUUAUUUGAUCAGAAAAGAAAUCAAUAGCGAGAGGAAGAAAAAAAGGAAACCACCACCACCUGCUUUCCUGGGACGAUAGAAGGCAUCAAAAGAAGACACAGUUUUGCACAGAGACAAAUGAAAAGAAACUUACUGCCGAGAGGGAGAAUCACUGCUACGGGAGCACACAAAGCUGCCCCACCCUGCCUGGAGCCCUGGAGGCCAGGAAAUGAGUGACACUGGAGUCUAGACCUGAGAUAUGAGGAGGGAUUGUCCAGAGGAAAACUCAGGAAGAGGCCACAGAAGAUGUGGGAAAACAGAGGCUGGGAUGAUACCUUCACAGUGAGAGCAAAGCCUGACCCCAGAAGCACAGACAGCUCAUCCAAGGUUCAGAAAGGAACUUAGAUGAGGAAAAACUUCUUCAGGUGCUCCAGGAACCAAAAAAGCACAUGGUCACAAUGGCAUUUCCACGGAGAUGUUAAGAAGCCAGUCUCAGCGUGCUA